UAGGGAAUCUUCGGCAAUGGACGAAAGUCUGACCGAGCAACGCCGCGUGAGUGAAGAAGGUUUUCGGAUCGUAAAACUCUGUUGUUAGAGAAGAACAAGGACGUUAGUAACUGAACGUCCCCUGACGGUAUCUAACCAGAAAGCCACGGCUAACUACGUGCCAGCAGCCGCGGUAAUACGUAGGUGGCAAGCGUUGUCCGGCUUUAUUGGGCGUAAAGCGAGCGCAGGCGGUUUCUUAAGUCUGAUGUGAAAGCCCCCGGCUCAACCGGGGAGGGUUAUUGGAAACUGGGAGACUUGAGUGCAGAAGAGGAGAGUGGAAUUCCAUGUGUAGCGGUGAAGUGCGUAGAUAUAUGGAGGAACACCAGUGGCGAAGGCGGCUCUCUGGUCUGUAACUGACGCUGAGGCUCGAAAGCGUGGGGAGCAAACAGG
rnacentral:rRNA from 1 species